UCCUGAUGCUGUUUAAACUUUAGAAGCCUUUAGCGGUUGUAAGAGGGUGCAGAGUGGCACCUGAAGUCAGAUACCUGGCGCUCUGUUCCCCGGACGAGCCUCAACACCAACACAAAGGUCAACUUAAGGAGAUAGGGAAAACGUAGACUUAAUUUCAUAAGUUAAGACUUUUGCUCUCGAAGCAAAAUAUUAGAAAGAAGACAUGGAAUUGCUUAAGAAUAUGAAGUAUGUUGUUUCAUAAGAUACUUACUUAUUUUUUCUUUUUAUUUAUAUUUUUGAACCAUUUUUCCAUCAGAGAAUAAUGUUCUGUGUAAGAAAGUGCUGUUGUGGUUUAAGGCUUCAUGAAUGGUAUUGUAAGGGUCUAGUCGUCUCUCCUGUAAUCAUGUCUCCACAUUUUUCAUUUCUCUCUCUCGCUAGAAGUCAGAGAUUGUAAAUUAUUUUGACAGCUGUUCUUUACUGUCCACUCAGCAGAUGAUGUGUCAGUAGAAGUAAGACAAAUGUAUGUUGCACUUCAUUUUCUGAAUUCAAAGAGAGCACUUCGAGAUUAGGUUCAGAGAUGAAAGAGUUUUGGAAAAAAAAAAUCAUUAACACCAUACCCCCCCCCCUCAAAAAAAAUCAUCCUAGAGCUAUCCAGUUCAGGAUUAAUUGAUUGAUGAAAAGAAUAUCCUCCCGCACUCAAGAAUAUCAUUUCAAAAAAA